rnacentral:rRNA from 1 species
AGAGUUUGAUCCUGGCUCAGGAUGAACGCUGGCGGCGUGCCUAACACAUGCAAGUCGAACGAGAGAGAAGGAGCUUGCUUCUUCGAUCGAGUGGCGAACGGGUGAGUAACGCGUGAGGAACCUGCCUCAAAGAGGGGGACAACAGUUGGAAACGACUGCUAAUACCGCAUAAGCCCACGGGUCGGCAUCGAUCUGAGGGAAAAGGAGCAAUCCGCUUUGAGAUGGCCUCGCGUCCGAUUAGCUAGUUGGUGAGGUAACGGCCCACCAAGGCGACGAUCGGUAGCCGGACUGAGAGGUUGAACGGCCACAUUGGGACUGAGACACGGCCCAGACUCCUACGGGAGGCAGCA